UUGGAAUUUUUCCAAGCCGGCCAAACAUUUCUGCCCUAGACAUCACCACUGGAUCCUCCUUCUUCGCCACCAGCCGCCGACAGUGAGGAGAACAGGGUGUAGCGAGUUAGCAGCUUCUCCGGGUCUCGACAGUAAGUUCUUCAGGAUUUGAGCAGCACUGAGGCAUCG